rnacentral:tRNA from 1 species
AAGAAUUUAGGAUAAUAAAACCAAAGACCUUCAAAGUCUUAAAUAGAAGUUUAACCCUUCUAACUCUUG